rnacentral:rRNA from 1 species
CCUACGGGUGGCAGCAGUGAGGAAUAUUGGUCAAUGGCCGGAAGGCUGAACCAGCCCAGCCGCGUGAAGGACGCAGGUGCCAAGCAUUGUAAACUUCUUUUGUCACGGGACAAAAUCAGGCUCGAGAGCCUGACCGAGGGUACUUGAAGAAAAAGCAUCGGCUAACUCCGUGCCAGCAGCCGCGGUAAUACGGAGGAUGCGAGCGUUCUCCGGAUGUAUUGGGUUUAAGGGGUGCGUAGGCGGACUGUUAAGUCAGCGGUAAAAGCCCGGGGCUCAACCCCGGCGAGCCGGUGAAACUGGCUGUCUUGGGAUGUCGAGGGGUAUGCGGAAUGCGCAGUGUAGCGGUGAAAUGCUUAGAGAUGGCGCAGAACUCCGAGUGCGAAGGCAGCAUACCGGCGGCGAUCUGACGCUGAGGCACGAAAGCGUGGGUAUCGAACAGGAUUAGAUACCCUUGUAGUC